rnacentral:misc_RNA from 1 species
UCUCCGUUGGUGAAUCAGCGGAGGGAUCAUUACAGGACUCGCAAGACUCCUACAACCCUGUGAACUUAACUAUAAGCACGUUGCUUCGGCGGGUGUCUCGGAGGGGGUUCUCCCUCCCCGAGACGCUAAACCCGCCGGCAGCCUACUAUACUCUGUCUCUUUGCGUUGGCAUCUCGAGUACAAUCAAACAAGUUAAAACUUUCAACAACGGAUCUCUUGGUUCUG